UAUAAUAAAAACUGUUUAAAAAUAAUAAUUUUUUCAGUCAGUCCGAGUCCACCCAAAAGCUGACAAAGGUGUAAAAGGACAAGUGGGCGCUCCGAUGCCAGGCACAGUAACUGAAAUAAGAGUCAAGCUCGGAACCAAAGUCAAACCCGGCGAUGCACUUGUAGUUCUAUCUGCGAUGAAAAUGGAAAUGAUAGUGCAAUCACCACUGGAAGGCACCGUAAAAUCAGUUAAUGCCACUGUUGGACAAAAAGUAGAANGCGAAGAUUUGCUUGUUUAUAUUGAAAAAUAAAGCCAUUCUCCCUUA